rnacentral:rRNA from 1 species
UACGUAGGGGGCUAGCGUUGUCCGGAAUCAUUGGGCGUAAAGAGCGUGUAGGCGGCCCGGUAAGUCCGCUGUAAAAGUCAAAGGCUCAACCUUUGAAUGUCAGUGGAUACUGCCGGGCUAGAGUCCGGAAGAGGCGAGUGGAACUCCUGGUGUAGCGGUGGAAUGCGCAGAUAUCAGGAAGAACACCAACGGCGAAGGCAGCUCGCUAGGACGGUACUGACGCUGAGACGCGAAAGCGUGGGGAGCGAAUGGG